rnacentral:rRNA from 1 species
UACGGAGGGAGCUAGCGUUAUUCGGAAUUACUGGGCGUAAAGCGCACGUAGGCGGCUUUGUAAGUUAGAGGUGAAAGCCCGGGGCUCAACCCCGGAAUUGCCUUUAAGACUGCAUCGCUUGAAUCCAGGAGAGGUGAGUGGAAUUCCGAGUGUAGAGGUGAAAUUCGUAGAUAUUCGGAAGAACACCAGUGGCGAAGGCGGCUCACUGGACUGGUAUUGACGCUGAGGUGGCGAAAGCGUGGGGAGCAAACAGG